GCGGCUGUGGCAGAGGUGGAAAAUGCACCAGUUUGUGGAACUGGUCGGUGCCGGUUCGAACCCGGUCAGUCGCCC
rnacentral:tRNA from 1 species